AACGAACGCUGGCGGCAGGCCUAACACAUGCAAGUCGAGCGCGCCUUUCGGGGUGAGCGGCGGACGGGUUAGUAACGCGUGGGAAUAUACCCUUUGGUACGGAAUAGCCUCUGGAAACGGAGAGUAAUACCGUAUGAGCCCUUCGGGGGAAAGAUUUAUCGCCAAAGGAUUAGCCCGCGUUAGAUUAGGUAGUUGGUGGGGUAAUGGCCUACCAAGCCUACGAUCUAUAGCUGGUUUUAGAGGAUGAUCAGCAACACUGGGACUGAGACACGGCCCAGACUCCUACGGGAGGCAGCAGUGGGGAAUCUUGGACAAUGGGGCAACCCUGAUCCAGCCAUGCCGCGUGAGUGAAGAAGGCCCUAGGGUCGUAAAGCUCUUUCGCCUGUGAAGAUAAUGACGGUAGCAGGUAAAGAAACCCCGGCUAACUCCGUG
rnacentral:rRNA from 1 species